AUCAUCAUCAUCUGCAAUUGCUGAGGAGAGGGAAACAGCGUUUUUUAGGAAGGAGGGCAACAAGAUGGGAGCUUGUUGCUCCCAUUUCCCUCCUUUCUCCCAUUUUCCUCCUUUCUCAAGAUCCUCUCUCUGGAAGGAGAGAGAAGCAGGGCUUAAACAGGAAAACCUCGGGAGAAGGAUGGGGGUUGUGUCACAAUGAGAGUAGUGUUUCAGCUCUGGGUAGUUAUUAUUAUCUUAAAAAGUAAUAGAAUUAAAAUGUUUGUUUGGGGUAGCUGAGCUCCACUAUGAGACACUUUCUGAAUUUUUUUUUUUUUUUUUUUUUGUGUGAAUAAAAAUACAUUUAGAACUGAUACUUUAAAAUCUCCUUCAGAUGCAGUGGUUGCUUUCCAAGCCCCCAGGAAAUCCUGGAUGCAUCUUUAAUGUCUGCUAACAGCCAAGUAAGGAAGCUGAACAUAUUUUUCAGUGCAUCUUUAAUCCUGGAAAAAGCAAAUGAAGAUAGAAGAGACCUGGGCAUGAACUCAAGGCUUGCUGGAAGCAACAGGAAAGAGUCCCUUAGGCUUUGGUGUGACCUGCAAUGGUCCCUGCCCACCCAUGUGCUCACUCUCUCUGUGCCUGAGAUAAACACCAGACCCUUGGACAUCAUGAACUUGAGCCACUGGCCCUGGCCAGAGUGUGUUUUUCCCAAGGAUCUUCAACCCACCUGCAUUUCACAGAACUAUGAUUGCCUCAAAAAUAUUUCAGGAGUUUUUGCUGUAAGCUUACAUUUUUUAAGGGGUUGCAUAAUACAUUUUUCUAUCUUCUAUGGCAUCUUCAGACAAACAUGUCAGGAGAAACAUACUUAACACAGUAGAAUUUAAUUAUGCAUGAAAGUGCAUCAAAAUCCAUGCCAGCCUUUGGACCAGAAUAAUGGUACAAGCAUCUUCACAAAGAUUUGCUGGAUUUUGCCAAUAUAUGUUUCUUAGAGUAGCUAUGCUACUGCUUUGUUUUGGACAUGCAUGAAAUCUUUAUUUGUAUGUGUUCUUCAGUCACAUUUACUCUGUCUGUAUAUAAACAAAUGAGAGCAUCCAGCAAUGUGAUUUCAUGCAUUUAUCUCAAAGUUUAUGAUGAAAAUUUGGUGACAGAAAUAUACUUCCAGAACAACAGACCUUAUUGGAGCUUUCUUCUUCCCCUUACUUUAAAGACCUCCUUGUUUUACUGAUCUGUGAUUUUUUGCUUCAGUGAUAGUGAUUUAUAUUACAGAAUCAUUUACUGCCAGUAAUGGAUAUGUUGGUACUCACAAUCCUUUUGAUCAUUCUAAGCUGAAGAAAUCCUCCCAGUGGAAGAUCACAAGGAAAAAUCAAGUUCUAGUUUUCCAUUGAUACAUCUGCCCUCACUAGGUGGUGGCCUGAGUUCAAUUUAUCUAAUAUUGUGCAGAAAAUUUGUGGCCAAAGGUAGGCUGGAACCCUGAGUUUUUGUUUUCCCCAUUGCCCACAGUAAGAUUGCCCUAUGGAGGAGCCCAAGGGUUGUGCAGUUGUGUUAUUUCACAAAACACCUCUUUCAACAUGAAAAUAUCCUUUGUUUUUAUGAUUAAAUGGGCCCAGAUUUUAAAGUGCAGCAUGUGCUGUCUGCUCUUCUUUCCUCCUAAACAUGCUUUUAGAAAAUGACUGCAAAUUCUUGCCGAGCGAUUAUAGAGUGACAACUGCAGGAAAGCUUCAGCUCUGCACAAAAAUGAUUGAUGGUCAGUGGUGGACACCUGCAUAUUGUGCCCCUCUUGAAAUACAUUCACUCAAUCUCAGGGGCAUUCAUUUAAUCUAAACUGCAUUUUGCAAACUUGAGCACACUGCUCAAGUUGAAGGGAAGUAGGUUUUUAUUUUUUGACAGUAUUCAUUUGUGGGAAUAGUGUAUAACAUGGAAUGUGUAUUACUAUUCCUCUCAAAGAGGAAAGAUCUGGACACUUGCUGAGGAUGAGAUGUACUUCCGAAGUCCUGUUCCUUAAAAUUCAGUAAAAAUAGCCAAGCUCUUCCCUCACAGACACCACUUAAUUUGUUCACUCUUGGUGACAGUCAUUUAGUAUUUCAGGGGCUGCAGAACCUGCAGCUUGUAUCUCUUCAGAGAAGAAAAUUUUAUCUUCUGUCUCAUUAGCUUCCUUCCAAGUUCAUAAUUCUUUUCCUGUGCCAGGAAAUGUUUGCAAAGCUUCCAGUCUCAGAAAUUCCUUAUCAUUUUCACAGUGCUGUCGCUGUUUCAGUGUGUUUUUCCAUUGACUCCACCAGGCUCUGCAUCAGGCCAAUAAUGGCUAUUUGUCAGUGUAUCCAGGAGUUAUAUUGACCUGUAUCAUGCCAAAUUUCAUCAGAGUGUUUGCAAUUCCCGAGCUUUUUGGCACAGUAAGCAUGUUACAUAGUUGGCAAUGCUCAGAAAUUGCAGUUUUGCGGUGCUAGGAAAAUAAUCAUAAUAAUACUAUAUUUCCUAUCUGCUAAUGGGAAACAUGAAGUUCUUUUAAUUAAUCCAUAGGCUGCUGUUCUGAUGGGGGCAUUUGUCUCUCCACCACCCUCCCCUGCCCUAACAAAAUAGAUUUUCUGACAUUUCUGUGACCUCUUAGAGAAAGAAUUAGGUGCACAGUUACCAAGCAACAGAAAGUCAGGCAACACACUUUCGAAGCCCUCUAAUUGCCCAUAAUGGUAAGAGCAGCAUCCACGUUCACAAAAGCUUCAUAUUCUUGGUACUUACUCUGCUGCAGGAACUCAUUUACCUUUUAUUGCCAGUGUGGUGUUAAGCUGUAACCACCAAAGGAGGAGGUGGAAGUCUGAAGGCUCUGGAGCCUUGGAGCUGCUGUGCACAUAGAGGGCCAUAAGGAUUGUCAUUUUCACAAUUCAUGCCUCACAUUUCACUUAUCCAGAAUAUUUUAAGUGCUAAGUCACAAGAGAGAAGGCACAUUCAUGUCUACAAUACUAAAACCAAAGUGAAGGCAAAGGAAAAAUAACUUACAAAGUCUUUCAAAGAUUUAAAUGAGAGACCAAAGAAAGGCUUUAAAGCACAAUGUAUUCUGACAACUUAUCCUCUAAGGAUUUAAAAUGACAUGUUUCAUGAGUCACACAAUGAAAUCUCUAUGGGGGGUGGGGGAGAAAUACAUGAAUACAUGUUUGAGACUUUGAAGAGUUUUGGUUUUUUUCUCCUCCAGCUUGUGCCCUGAUGCAUGUGAGGAGUCAAAAUGUCCCCUCCUUGCAGGACAUAUCUGGGACACUGAGUGCCACUCCUUCCUGAAGCUUUUCCAAGCUUUUCCAUUUUAUCCAACAACUGUAGCAGUCUCCAUCCACUUUUCACAACCCAUUUUCCUCAAGGGGGAUUCAGGAAGUGUUUUUCCUCAGGCACUGUAGAAAAGGAGACCAUCAAGAGGGGACAGUCCAAGUCUUUGCCACUGGACAUUUUGGCUUUCCUGUGGAGGAUGGUGCUGGGCCAAGUGACAGUCACUGACUCCACUGUCCUGCUGCUGUUCCUUGAGGAAGCCCUUUCAAUCCUGAGUGGGAGAGGUGGUGUGUCUGUGCUCUGGGUGUCAGUGAUCAGCUUUCUCCAGCAAGGGGUCGUUUUUGUGUUCGAAAAAGGGCUUCUUGGUAUUUCUGUGUGUGCUUUCAUUUAUUUUCAAGCAUACACACGUUGUUCAUUAGAAAAAAAUAAAGCUCUAGAGCUUCCUUCUCAUGUCAUUUGCACUGGAGUUUACUCUGGCAAAGUUAAUAGACAUUAAAUUGUCAUACAUGAAGACAGGGCUGGAAACUUCAGCUUUUGGUCCCAAGAAAACUGUGAGCUGAGCUUGGCACUGUGAGCAAGAAAGCACCUUGCACAUGAGCUGUCUCUUCAAUACAUUUUUUUUUCCUUUUACUUCUGUCCUGCAGCAGAAAUGAGGUUUAAUGGAGAGGUAUUAUGGAAUGGAGGUGAAAUGGCCAAGGGCUCAGCCAUGCAAUCUGUCACAGGCUGUAGCUCCAGCCCAGCAAAGCCCAGAGGCAUCCAACACCUUUCAGAGAGACUCACAAAAUGAUACAAUUCUUCAAAAUCAGCCAUGAAUUGCCAAGAAACAUGCACACAGGGUAGGUGGGGACUCAGAAUUUUGAAUUUAGAGAGAAUAAAAAGAAUCUGGGGUUAAAGUAUCUACAUGCACAUAGACAUUUCAGCUGUGUUUUUCUAUUUAGGGCCUUUUUACUUCAAUGUCUGUGCAAUUACCACCAUUUCCAGUGGAGUUACUUUGAAAAUACUAUGUAGCUUCUUGUAGCUGUCUAAUUAACUUGUCUCAUGACUGUAAGUGGAUGUACCAAAAUUUCUAAUGUGGAAAGGACUUCUUUGGAACCAUGCUCUGAAGAUUCAAGAAUAUUUCUGCUGUUUUCAGUUCUAAGGGUGGUAUUGUUUGGAGACGCACAGCCUAGAGGCAUGAGAGGAAAGUGAGAGUUAUUGUGUUUGCCUAGUGUCUAAAAUGAAGAUAUUUUUCCUGGUUUUGGCUAGCCUGUUUUUAAUAGGAAUUGAUCAUACCGUGAAUUAGAAUUUCCAUUAGGAACUGCAUGUUAGAAAAGUAGAAGUAGCUCUGGCUGAAUUUGGACUUUUAUGUCUAUAGGGUCUCUUAGAGCAUGUUUAUGCUGAGUCUUGCUGUUAAUAUGGAAAUAAAAAUUACAGUUAUACUACCCCC